AGUGAACGCUGGCGGUAGGCCUAACACAUGCAAGUCGAACGGCAGCACAGUAAGAGCUUGCUCUUACGGGUGGCGAGUGGCGGACGGGUGAGGAAUACAUCGGAAUCUACUUUUUCGUGGGGGAUAACGUAGGGAAACUUACGCUAAUACCGCAUACGACCUACGGGUGAAAGCAGGGGAUCUUCGGACCUUGCGCGAUUGAAUGAGCCGAUGUCGGAUUAGCUAGUUGGCGGGGUAAAGGCCCACCAAGGCGACGAUCCGUAGCUGGUCUGAGAGGAUGAUCAGCCACACUGGAACUGAGACACGGUCCAGACUCCUACGGGAGGCAGCAGUGGGGAAUAUUGGACAAUGGGCGCAAGCCUGACCCAGCCAUACCGCGUGGGUGAAGAAGGCCUUCGGGUUGUAAAGCCCUUUUGUUGGGAGAGAAAAGCAGCAGGUUAAUACCCCGCUGUUCUGACGGUACCCAAAGAAUAAGCACCGGCUAACUUCGUG
rnacentral:rRNA from 1 species